GGCACAGACCCCCACCGCACUCUUGUUUUCAAGUGCUUUCCCACUAAAUAAUGCUUAAUACAGUGUGGCCUUAAUCAUCAUCUAUAUAAUGCAAACCCUAAUAAUCCCUUCUUUCAUCAACUUUUCACAGCAAUAAAAGCAGGUUGGCGAUGAGCUACUUUUGAUCAUGAAGACCUCGCUACUACUCUUUGUAACCCUAGUUGUGGUCGUUGGAGCUUUGCAAGCUGCCAAUGCAAAAAGGCUCACCAAGGCAGAUCGCCAGCUUCUACGUGAUGCAAAUUGGAGCCGAAAGGUUAAUGUUGGUUCCAGUGAUAAGAGUACUAUAGACGGAACCAAAGUAGCUGAAGAAAAUACUGAUAAUACUAAUGAGGAUGCAGAUAGCAGCGACGGUGAUACAAACAAUAGCUUUGGUAAACUCGGACAUUCUGGUCCAUCCACUGAUACUCACCAUGGUUACGAUGUUGAGAAUCGUCCAGAGUGCCCAAAAAAAGUGAGCCAAACUAGUAAUCCGUGUCCCUAGCUAAUGUUACCAGCAAACUUGAUGGUGAAUGGAAUUUCUGUAAAAAUGGUGUGAAAUAAUAAAGUGGAACCAACAUGAAAAGUCUAGCCAUGAAGUAUGUAAGGCACCGACACAUGAGAGUUUCACAAAAUUGAAAGUGUCAGUUUGUAUGUUGUGUGUUCCGUCUUUGUUGACGGAUGUCAUGGCUUAUAGGCCGAGUAUGCUUUGUAUUAUGUAUAAUUUUAAAUAAAACAACCAUGCAUGUGUAUGGUAUGGUUUGUGUGCCUGUUUUUAUGCUA